rnacentral:rRNA from 1 species
AAUAGAUACCCGGGUAGUCCACGCCCUAAACGAUGUCUACUAGUUGUCGGGUCUUCAUUGACUUGGUAACGCAGCUAACGCGUGAAGUAGACCGCCUGGGGAGUACGGUCGCAAGAUUAAAACUCAAAGGAAUUGACGGGGACCCGCACAAGCGGUGGAUGAUGUGGAUUAAUUCGAUGCAACGCGAAAAACCUUACCUACCCUUGACAUGGUCGGAACCCUGAAGAGAUUCGGGGGUGCUCGAAAGAGAGCCGAUACACAGGUGCUGCAUGGCUGUCGUCAGCUCGUGUCGUGAGAUGUUGGGUUAAGUCCCGCAACGAGCGCAACCCUUGUCAUUAGUUGCUACGAAAGGGCACUCUAAUGAGACUGCCGGUGACAAACCGGAGGAAGGUGGGGAUGACGUCAAGUCCUCAUGGCCCUUAUGGGUAGGGCUUCACACGUCAUACAAUGGUGCAUACAGAGGGUUGCCAACCCGCGAGGGGGAGCCAAUCCCAGAAAGUGCAUCGUAGUCCGGAUUGCAGUCUGCAACUCGC